GGCUGUUUUAUGCAGCCGUGGCGGACGGGUGAGUAACAUGUAGGUGACCUACCCUAAAGUCUGGGACAACUAGGAGAAAUCUUAGCUAAUCCUGGAUGUGGACAUCUACUUUGGUGGAUGUUUAAAGCUUCGGCGCUUUGGGAUGGGCCUGCGGCGCAUCNNNUAGUUGGUGGGGUAAUGGCCUACCAAGCCUNNNACGCGUAGCUGGUCUGAGAGGACGAUCAGCCACAGGGGUACUGAGACACGGACCCCACUCCUACGGGAGGCAGCAGUUAGGAAUCUUCCGCAAUGGGCGAAAGCCUGACGGAGCGAUACCGCUUGGAGGACGAAGCCCUUCGGGGUGUAAACUUCUGAACUCGGGACGAUAAUGACGGUACCGAGGUAAUAGCACCGGCUAACUCCGUGCCAGCAGCCGCGGUAAUACGGACGGUGCGAGCGUUACCCGGAUUUACUGGGUGUAAAGGGCGUGUAGGCGGUCUCUCAAGUCCGAUGCUAAAGACCGAAGCUCGACUUCGGGGGUGCGUUGGAUACUGUGAGGCUAGACGGUCGGAGAGGGUAGCGGAAUUUCCGGAGUAGCGGUGAAAUGCGCAGAUACCGAAAGGAACGCCGAUAGCGAAAGCAGCUACCUGGACGAUUUGUGACGCUGNNNCGCGAAAGCGUGGGGAGC
rnacentral:rRNA from 1 species